rnacentral:rRNA from 1 species
AAUGUUUUCAUUAAUCAAGAACGAAAGUUAGAGGUUCGAAGGCGAUCAGAUACCGCCCUAGUUCUAACCGUAAACUAUGCCUACUAGAUGUAUGAAUUAUUAGUUAUAAUAAUUUAUGCAUCUUCUCGGAAACGAAAGUCUUUCGGUUCCGGGGGAAGUAUGGUUGCAAAGCUGAAACUUAAAGGAAUUGACGGAAGGGCACCACCAGGAGUGGAGCCUGCGGCUUAAUUUGACUCAACACGGGAAAACUCACCCGGGCCGGACACUAUAAGGAUUGACAGAUUGAUAGCUCUUUCAUGAUUUAGUGGUUGGUGGUGCAUGGCCGUUCUUAGUUCGUGGAUAUGAUUUGUCUGGUUGAUUCCGAUAACGAGCGAGACUUUUAUGUUAUAUUAAAUAUUAUUAUUUUGUUUAUUUUAAUAUAAAUAAUUAAUAUUUUAAUAACAGAUUAAUAGUGUUUAACUAUUUGAGAGAAGCGAUAACAGGUCUGUGAUGCCCUUAGAUGUCCGGGGCUGCACGCGCGCUACAAUGUAGUGAUC